GUCUGUAUCUUUUUUGUCAUAUUCACUAGCUUGUUUCAUUUUUUAGAUUCCACAUAUAAGUGAUAUCAUACAGAAGCACCCCAUACUUGGCGUUCUUAAGAGGAAAGGUACUCUAUGACAAUAAUGUUGAUAAAAAGUGUGCUGCCUUAAACCUAGAUACAAUGUAAUAAUAGCUUUCACUUUAUCUUUUGAUUUUCACAAUAAACUUACUUGAAUUUCACAAUAAAUUAUUCCACUCAUGAAGAUGCUGAGGCACAGAGAUGUCUUCUAGAGCCAACGGUGACAUCCAUCGUUCCAUUACCUUGCGAGUGGACCUUAAGGUUGGGGUCCUGCUUUUCCAACUGGCCAUUGAAGAAUCUGCAUGGCUGAUUUGACCUCACCAAGGAGACGGGGUGUGGUGUUUGAAUUUCUUCACUCUCUCGUCUGCCCAAGCUCUCACAGAACUAGAUCUGGAACUGGAACGCGAGCCAACCACGAGGGUGGCAGUCUUCCUGCCCAUCUACGUGAGACUUAAAGGCCAACCUUAGAGGGACCUGCUGUUUCUCCUCCAAGAAAUUGUUCUGCGUCUAGAGACACAUGUGUUCCAUUUUAAUUAGAAACCAGUGGGGCACUGGGCCGGCUGGCUAACAGCUCAGGCCAUGCUGGAAACCAGAGGGCUGAGUGGAGGCCAGGACGUCUGAGCAUAUCUUCAGGGCUUUCUUCCCACCUGCUGCUUGUGGAGGCGUUCUGGCACUUUCCACGCACCCGUCACUGCACAUCCUCCACCCCGUCUGCACUCCCAUCACCAUUAUCCUCACCUGCCAUGGGGCCGGGACGUGGCAGUGUAUUAGUUGUCACAUAUGAGAGAAAACCAGCCCAAGAUGACGGUGGGUACAGCCCCACAAGACCGUCAGAGCCUGGUGUCCGGGCUCCUGGUCCCGUGCUCUCAUGCCACCCUCAGUAGCAAGCACUCAGAGUCAGACGCCCAAAGAGAGAAACAUUCCUCUGAGGACCACUGUGAGGGGGCACCCGCCCCCGCAAAACUAUGGACCAGCCAAAGCACUGGUGGUUCCUAACAAAUUGAACUGCGUGAGCAUUUACGAACUACCCCAUUUUUUACGAGCAUCUCACCUGGUUCAUCACCCUGGGAACACACUUUGGAGAGACGGUAAAAGGAGUGGAGGUAAGCAAGAGUUCGCAUUCCUCUCCGAGCUUCGGACCAGAAUCUGGCUUAGAGAAGGUGAGCUGGCCUCAGCACUGCCCUGGCAGCAGGACUCCAAGUGCCCACAGUGGGUACCAGCCACUCUACCUGGGGGAUGGUGAGUGUCCGGAAGGGGAGGGCAUUUCCUGUACUUCCCUGACUGUGGUCGGCUGGAAAGCCUAGGCUGGUGGCCACUUAGAAGAGUCUUAACAGCGUCAGAGUUUCAUUUUGGGUUUGAAACACUGUACAAGGCCACCUUUUAAUAGUCACAAUGCCGCCUGUGACACAGCACGGGGUGUGUGUCAUCUGAGGAGGAAGCGUGCUCUCUCCCCGCAGUCCAGGGCCGUGGCAUUUCCUCUCUUCAGUGUGUUUUUCUUGCCAGCAACAACUAAGCCCAAGGCCACCA